rnacentral:rRNA from 1 species
GACGAACCGAGCGAACGUUGUUCGGAAUAACUGGGCUUAAAGGGCGCGUAGGCGGGCUGUCAAGUCUGGGGUGAAAUCCCGCGGCUCAACCGUGGAACGGCCUCGGAUACGGGCGGCCUCGAGGGGGGUAGGGGCAUCUGGAACUGUGAGUGGAGCGGUGAAAUGCGUUGAUAUUCACAGGAACUCCGGUGGCGAAGGCGAGGUGCUGGACCCCAUCUGACGCUGAGGCGCGAAAGCCAGGGGAGCGAACGGG